rnacentral:rRNA from 1 species
UACGUAGGGAGCAAGCGUUGUCCGGAAUCAUUGGGCGUAAAGCGCGCGUAGGUGGCCCCAUAAGUCCGCUGUGAAAGUCAAAGGCUCAACCUUUGAAAGCCGGUGGAUACUGUGGGACUAGAGUACGGAAGAGGCGAGUGGAAUUCCUGGUGUAGCGGUGGAAUGCGCAGAUAUCAGGAGGAACACCAAUAGCGAAGGCAGCUCGCUGGGACGUUACUGACACUGAGGCGCGAAAGCGUGGGUAGCAAACAGG